AGUUCGGAUUGUAGUCUGCAACCCGACUACAUGAAGCUGGAAUCGCUAGUAAUCGCGGAUCAGAAUGCCGCGGUGAAUACGUUCCCGGGUCUUGUACACACCGCCCGUCACACCAUGGGAGUCGGAAAUGCCCGAAGUCUGUGACCUAACCGUAAGGAAGGAGCAGCCGAAGGCAGGUCGGAUGACUGGGGUGAAGUCGUAACAAGGUAAC
rnacentral:rRNA from 1 species